UGCGAAUUAGUGUAAAAGGUAGCAUAUUAGACUCAUGAUCUCAUGGUGAUUGUUCAAAUCAAUCAUUCGCAC